CGAUGCUAAUUCCCUCGCUGGGUCCUCAGGGGCCAUUUGGUUAUGAGGGAGUGUUGACGUCCACUGAAACUUUUCUACUAAGUGUCUGUGAGUGUGUGAUUGUGCUGGUGGCCCUGUGUAAGGGGACGUGUAUGGGGUUGGUUGGUUACGGUCGUCAUGGCUGUGUGUUAACAUGCUGCUACUUUUUGCAUUUGAGUAGGGUUUGUGGGAAUGUGGCUCUGCGUGUACAGUAUAUAUAAAUGGGGAUGUGUGAGUAUAUAUUAAUGUGUGUGUAUAUGUGUGUGUGAGAGAGAGUUUGUGUGGUGUAGGAAGCCACUGAGGGAGGAAACACCGGCUCUCUCCUGUCUGAGAGGAAACAGAAGCUGUCCUCCACCGGGACAGGAAAAACGUUCCCAGCGUUCACGGAGACGCUGGAGGUGUCGGAGGAACUGGGAGGAAUGUCUGGAAUUCUGUGGCGUUUCCAUUCCCUUCCGCUCGGUUCCUGCUCCCCGUAGUGAUAAUGGGCUCUCAGGGAGAGCCUGGCAGAUGGACAGCCGUGUCGGGGCCCAGGCCGAAGGGAAGUCUCCCAGUGCCCUUCCGACAAGCGCCUCCUGCUUUUAUUGGAUGAGAGGAGCACUGGGGUCAACGCCGGGGUUGCCUUGCCACGUCAGAGGGGUCGCUUCCUGGAUAAUAAUUGUACCCACGAGAGGAGCACACAAACCAGACCUGAGCCCUAGGACCGUGCCCCAGGACUACCUGACAUGAUGACUCCUUGCUGUCCCCGGUCCACCUGACUGUGCUGCUGCUCCAGUUUCAACUGUUCUGCCUUGUUAUUAUUUGACCAUGCUGGUCAUUUAUGAACAUUUGAACAUCUUGGCCAUGUUCUGUUAUAAUCUCCACCCGGCACAGCCAGAAGAGGACUGGCCACCCCACAUAGCCUGGUUCCUCUCUAGGUUUCUUCCUAGGUUUUGGCCUUUCUAGGGAGUCUUUCCUAGCCACCGUGCUUCUACACCUGCAUUGCUUGCUGUUUUGGGGUUUUAGGCUGGGUUUCUGUACAGCACUUUGAGAUAUCAGCUGAUGUACGAAGGGCUAUAUAAAUACAUUUGAUUUGAGGCACUUUAUAUACUUGAUCUCCACUAUAAAAAGUAUCUAAACAUGAUCUCACAUUUCUUUUAGACUAACAUUUAGUUUUCAACAGCGGAGAUUUGUAUGAACCUCGCUGUCGGUCUCUCCAACAUUUGCAACAUUGUUUCAAUAUUCAAAUUCGAUCUCCAGCUGUCCCUUGGUAAUGAACGUGUUGGGCGUUGGGACAAGACAGACAGGCAGGCAGCAUUUCCCAGCCAGUCGAAAUCAUGAAUCAGCUGGCAUCAUUUUUAUGGACUUACACAAAGAAAUUGAAAAAAGGUCAAACAAAACGAAGUGCAGCUAUUGUGUAGUCUUUCCAGCUUCAGUUUGAAGUGAUUGUGUUAGCUGUGUUGAUGGCUAGCUCCUCUGAACAGCAGUGUCCUGACGAGAGAGCACAUUUUCCAUUGCUAUGGAUGUGUCCAAAUAAAUGUCACUAGGAAGCAGCUAGACAGCCUAGUGGUUAGAGCGUUGGACCAGUAACCAAAAGGUUGCUGGAUCGAAUCCCUGAGCUGACAAGGAAAUCUGUUGUUCUGCCUCUGAACAAGGCAGUUAACCCACUGUUCUCCGGUAGGCCGUCAUUGUUCUUAACUGACUUGCCUAGUUAAAUAAGCAAAUUCUGUUUGUCUGGCUCCACUUUUUGAUGUGACUGUAAGUUAGCCAUAGCUAGCUAGCAUGCAAGGGUUAAGACUGUUGCCAGCCAGUAUGGUAAUGGAGCAUAUUGACUGAAUGCCCAUGGAUAAAGAACAAAAAGACUGUCUCUGUCUGGCAGCUGAUCUGACAGAACGAACAACCCCCCGGCUUGGGUAGCAACCCUAGAUUUGUGUCGAGGCUGUAUCUUGCGGAAAGAUGAAAUAGCAUGAAUAAAUGUGUCAAAAUAAACUUUUUAAUGAAAAUAUGUCAAUCCUUAUUUGAAUAUGUUGGCAACCUGUUGUAUACAAGUGAUAAUGCCCUCGAAGCAGCACCCGCCAAUAUAUCCUCCAAACACGGGCUUCCAGGGCAUUAUCACUUAAAUCUAUA